GACGAACGCUGGCGGCGUGCCUAAUACAUGCAAGUAGAACGCUGAAGAGAGGAGCUUGCUCUUCUUGGAUGAGUUGCGAACGGGUGAGUAACGCGUAGGUAACCUGCCUGGUAGCGGGGGAUAACUAUUGGAAACGAUAGCUAAUACCGCAUGACAUUGAUUAUCGCAUGAUAAUUGAUUGAAAGAUGCAAUUGCAUCACUACCAGAUGGACCUGCGUUGUAUUAGCUAGUUGGUGAGGUAACGGCUCACCAAGGCGACGAUACAUAGCCGACCUGAGAGGGUGAUCGGCCACACUGGGACUGAGACACGGCCCAGACUCCUACGGGAGGCAGCAGUAGGGAAUCUUCGGCAAUGGGGGGAACCCUGACCGAGCAACGCCGCGUGAGUGAAGAAGGUUUUCGGAUCGUAAAGCUCUGUUGUAAGAGAAGAACGGGUGUGAGAGUGGAAAGUUCACACUGUGACG
rnacentral:rRNA from 1 species